rnacentral:lncRNA from 1 species
UGUUAUAAUUGAUAGGAAAGAUGCAUCUUGGACAUGGAAUUGUUUUAUCUGUGGGCAUUGUGUAUCAGGACUUGUUCAUUAGGCUGGCAGCAGAGGGGCACAGGGAAACACAGAAAGAUGGAAGCAAGUGCUCAAAGAUUUACAUUUUGAUGUAAGCCACUGGUGUGUGUGUGCAUCUUCUGGCUGUACUAUAGGAAUAUUUUAAUUCACUGGGAACAUGCAUUAUUGCUAAUAUUUUAGUAGUAGAAAUCUGUUAAUGAAACAAGCUUGGUGUAUUCUGUUGCU